rnacentral:rRNA from 1 species
UACGUAGGGGGCAAGCGUUGUUCGGAAUUACUGGGCGUAAAGGGCGCGUAGGCGGCAUGGCAAGUCAGGAGUGAAAGGCCUGGGCUCAACCGAGGAACUGCUUUUGAGACUGCCAAGCUAGAGUGCGGAAGGGGCAACUGGAAUUCCCAGUGUAGCGGUGAAAUGCGUAGAUAUUGGGAAGAACACCGGAGGCGAAGGCGGGUUGCUGGGCCGACACUGACGCUGAUGCGCGACAGCGUGGGGAGCAAACAGG